CGUGGGGAGCAACAGGAUUAGAUACCUGGUAGUCACGCGUAAACGAUGUCGACUUGGAGGUUGUGCCCUGAGGCGUGGCUUCGGGAGCUAACGCGUUAAGUCGACCGCUGGGGAGUACGGCCGCAAGGUUAAAACUCAAAUGAAUUGACGGGGGCCCGCACAGCGGUGGAGCAUGUGGUUUAAUUCGAUGCAACGCGAAGAACCUUACCUACUCUUGACAUCCAGAGAACUUUCCAGAGAUGGAUUGGUGCCUUCGGGAACUCUGAGACAGGUGCUGCAUGGCUGUCGUCAGCUCGUGUUGUGAAAUGUUGGGUUAAGUCCCGCAACGAGCGCAACCCUUAUCCUUUGUUGCCAGCGGUUAGGCCGGGAACUCAAAGGAGACUGCCAGUGAUAAACUGGAGGAAGGUGGGGAUGACGUCAAGUCAUCAUGGCCCUUACGAGUAGGGCUACACACGUGCUACAAUGGCGCAUACAAAGAGAAGCGACCUCGCGAGAGCAAGCGGACCUCAUAAAGUGCGUCGUAGUCCGGAUUGGAGUCUGCAACUCGACUCCAUGAAGUCGGAAUCGCUAGUAAUCGUAGAUCAGAAUGCUACGGUGAAUACGUUCCCGGGCCUUGUACACACCGCCCGUCACACCAUGGGAGUGGGUUGCAAAAGAAGUAGGUAGCUUAACCUUCGGGAGGGCGCUUACCACUUUGUGAUUCAUGACUGGGGUGAAGUCGUAACAAGGUAACCAAGGGCGAAUUCUG
rnacentral:rRNA from 1 species